rnacentral:rRNA from 1 species
UACAGAGGGUGCGAGCGUUAAUCGGAAUUACUGGGCGUAAAGGGCGCGUAGGCGGCCCGCUAAGUCGAACGUGAAAUCCCCGAGCUCAACUCGGGAACUGCGUCCGAUACUGGCGGGCUUGAAUCCGGGAGAGGGAUGCGGAAUUCCAGGUGUAGCGGUGAAAUGCGCAGAUAUCAGGAGGAACACCGGUGGCGAAGGCAAUCCCCUGGGCCUGCACUGACGCUCAUGCACGAAAGCGUGGGGAGCAAACAGG